UAGGGAAUCUUCGGCAAUGGGGGGAACCCUGACCGAGCAACGCCGCGUGAGUGAAGAAGGUUUUCGGAUCGUAAAGCUCUGUUGUUAAGGAAGAACGAGUGUGAGAAUGGAAAGUUCAUACUGUGACGGUACUUAACCAGAAAGGGACGGCUAACUACGUGCCAGCAGCCGCGGUAAUACGUAGGUCCCGAGCGUUGUCCGGAUUUAUUGGGCGUAAAGCGAGCGCAGGCGGUCAAUUAAGUCUGAUGUGAAAGCCCCCGGCUCAACCGGGGAGGGUCAUUGGAAACGGAUUGACUUGAGUGCAGAAGAGGAGAGUGGAAUUCCAUGUGUAGCGGUGAAAUGCGUAGAUAUAUGGAGGAACACCAGUGGCGAAGGCGACUCUCUGGACUGUAACUGACGCUGAGGCUCGAAAGCGUGGGUAGCAAACAGG
rnacentral:rRNA from 1 species